rnacentral:rRNA from 1 species
GACGAACGCUGGCGGCGUGCUUAACACAUGCAAGUCGAACGGACAGGCCCUGCUUUUGUGCGUUUCUCGUGUGCCGAACGCGUGAGUAACACGUGUGUAUACUGCCCUUGACUUUCGGAUAUCUUCAGGAAACUGCGGCUCUUAUAGCAUAGGAGCUACUGCUGCAUGGUGUGGGUUGGAAAGUUUCGGCGGUUGUGGCUCGACUCGCAGCUUAUCCGCUUGAUGGUCUGGUAGUUGCUUACCAAGGCUUUGACGGGUAGCCGGCCUGAGAGGGUGACCGGCGACAAUGGUACUGAGGUACGGACCAGAAGGCUACGUGAGGCAGCAGUGGAGAACAUUGCACAAUGGGCGGAAGCCUGAGGCAGCAACGCCGCGUGCGGGAUGACGGGUUACGGGUUGUGAACCACUUUCUCCGGUGACGAGGCGUGAGUGACGGUAAUUGGUAAAGAAGCACCGGCUAACUACGUG